rnacentral:misc_RNA from 1 species
UUCAAAAGUCAGAAUUAAAGUAAGUGAUUCACUUGCAACUUGUAGAAGAGAAAAAAGGAAGGAAGAAAGGAAGACAUACCAAGACCCAGAGAAAUGGAACGAACUGAUGAUUAUCAACAGCAUAACUGUAAAAGCAAUGAGAUGGUGGAGGAGGUGGAGCAGACCAAAAUACGUCUCCUGAGAGCCUCUGUUGAAAGGCAGGAUCCCUCUUCCAAGGAAGUAGAUGACUUGACACUUAGAAGAUUUCUGCGGGCCCGUGAUUUAGAUAUCCAGAAAGCUUCUCUCAUGUUCCUCAAGUACCUGAAAUGGAGACAGGAAUUUGUUCCAAAUAGCUCCAUUUCUCCAUCAGAGGUGCCAAAUGAAAUUGCACAGAAUAAAAUGUUUCUGCAAGGAACAGAUAAGAAGGGACGCCCGAUAACGGUUGUUCUUGGUCGUAGACAUUUUCAAAACAAAGAAAGCCUAGAUGAAUUUAAGCGUUAUGUAGUCUGCGCUCUGGAUAAAAUAUGCGCAAGGAUGCCACCAGGAGAGGAGAAGUUUGUUGUGAUUGGAGAUCUUCAAGGUUGGGGAUAUGCAAACAGCGAUAUUCGAGGAUACCUGGCAUCUUUAUCCAUUUUGCAGGACUACUACCCUGAAAGACUAGGGAAGAUGUUCAUCGUGCAUGCACCGUACAUUUUUAUGGCAGUGUGGAAAAUUAUCUACCCUUUUAUAGAUAACAACACCAGGAAGAAGAUAGUAUUUGUGGAGAACAAGAAGCUGAAAUCCACUCUCUUAGAAGACAUCGAUGAGAACCAAAUCCCAGAGAUAUACGGAGGGCAGCUGCCACUAGUUCCAAUCCUCGACAGCUGACCAACGAACCAUCCGGUGGCACAGCCGGACAGAAAUAGAUGUGUAGAUAAAUUGUCCCUGAGCGAAAUGUCCGGCCCUGUAAGCUAGAACAACCCGCCAAUGAAAUGAACAUCUCCAUGUACUUGCUUGAAUCUCCUUGUCUUUUAAACUGUACUAAGCUAAAUGUGUGUGUGAAAUUUGCUCUCUCAGAGAGUGAGGAUGACUAUUGGCAUCAAUCAUUGUGUUGAGCGUGGAGAUACCUCCAUUAAUAUGAUUUAAGCCAGUUUGACUCGAAUUAUCUAUUAUACUUUUUUGAGUCUUGAAUUAUAUGAUAUAAUGUGAAAUUUACUCUAACCCUAGGAGUGUAAAUGACUAUACCAUAUGUUGAACUUGAGUUGAC